GUUCGAGUCAGGAAAAGAGUUUGCCCCAUCGUACAGUUACAAACAUACCUCUCAUGGGAUUCUGGAUCCACAAGAUACCUCCGAUAAGGGGAGAUGAUCCACAUGUUUGGCCACCUGCUGCAGGAUGAGCUGGACCAGUCUUGGGGAAAACGAUUACAUACACACACACGGUGCAAGGGGAGUUACAUCACAACGAGACAAAUCCCGGUUCCUUUCCAAACAAAAUCGAAGUUGAUCAUCCAAAAGGAGAUGAUUGUGCAAAACAAAGCCCGCUCUGCCAGGCUGCAGACCUGAGAAUGUGGCUGCGUCGUGUCACUUAGCAGAACGAUCACGCGCACAAUCGGCAACAAUGGGGAAAGCGCGUGCACACGAACAAUGCUUCCUGCAAGUGAUGUGCGCUGUCAUGAAGAGAAGAUUACUGGCACAGUGAUGCGGAAAGAGGGAGAAAAAAAAAA